rnacentral:rRNA from 1 species
UACGAAGGGGCUAGCGUUGCUCGGAAUCACUGGGCGUAAAGCGCACGUAGGCGGAUCUUUAAGUCAGGGGUGAAAUCCUGGAGCUCAACUCCAGAACUGCCUUUGAUACUGAGGAUCUUGAGUCCGGGAGAGGUGAGUGGAACUCCGAGUGUAGAGGUGAAAUUCGUAGAUAUUCGGAAGAACACCAGUGGCGAAGGCGGCUCACUGGCCCGGUACUGACGCUGACGGUGCGAAAGCGUGG